UACGAAGGGGGCUAGCGUUGCUCGGAAUCACUGGGCGUAAAGCGCACGUAGGCGGCUUUCUAAGUCAGGGGUGAAAUCCUGGAGCUCAACUCCCGAACUGCCUCUGAUACUGGGAAGCUUGAGUCCGGAAGAGGUGAGUGGAACUCCGAGUGUAGAGGUGAAAUUCGUAGAUAUUCGGAAGAACACCAGUGGCGAAGGCGGCUCACUGGUCCGGUACUGACGCUGAGGUGCGAAAGCGUGGGGAGCAAACAGG
rnacentral:rRNA from 1 species